rnacentral:lncRNA from 1 species
CUGGGUGGGUGGGUAGAUGGAUAGAUGGAGCCUUUCUGCUCUCUCCAGCUCCACCUGCAGCUCUGUAGUCCAAGGUAAGGCCAGUCAGCACCACAGACAGCACCAUUACCACGGACUUAGCUUUCAUUCACCCCAGGUACCAAGAAAGGGGAGCCUGUUCUGAGUCAGGCCUCCUCUGAAGCCAGGGUUGGGGCUCAGCCGUGGGCUAGAUCUGCAUUUCUGCACUUAUCUGGGGAGAGGAGAGGGUCUGGACUAAAUUACUUCUAACUCGUUCUUAAAGCCUAAGAUUCUAUGAAACCAGAGACCUUGGUCUUAUCCCCUUUGGAGCCACAAGCACAAGACCAACGCCCUUCCUGAGGGUUGGGGUCGCUGCCAUAAGAUCUUUCCUGUUUCAUCUUCAUGAGUCUCUAUGCCUUUCCCCAUCUCCACAGGUCCUCCUAUGGCUCACCCCACUGCCUGGCACUGGCUCCAUGCCUCCUUCUCUGGAAGGAAGCCUCACAGUGCCCCUCACACUGGCCUACAGGAAGGCAAUAACAUCAAACUCAAGAGUCAAGUACCUCCCAAGGUCCGGCUGUGCUCUUGGGACUGUCCGUUCACACUGAUUCAUGCAACUCUGCUUGUGUUAGGUCCUCUGUGAGGCCCUCCUCUCUCUCUGGGCCUUGGUGUCCCCUUCUGUAAAGGGAAGGGUCCUUCUAGAUCCCCCAGGACCUCGGAGCCCUCUCAUUCUCUGUCCAUCAUCCCUUCCCUUCCUUUCGGGUGGACCUCCCUGCCUUCCUCCCUGCCUCCCCCGGCCGACGUCCACCUCUGUCCCAGGCUGCACUCCUGUUCCUCUCCAGGAGUCUUGACGUCUUUUCCCACCUCCGCGUCCUCUCUUCCUCUCAUAGCUUCUCCUCCCACUCUCCAUCUCUCUCCUGCAUACUUCCUGCCCCCACCUACUCCUGUGUCUCCAGCCCACUCCUCCCACAAACCUCCAAAUAGUCACCUUGAGAACACUGGGAGAAAGCACCUAACUCAAGAGAAGCGCCCACAGAAUGGGAAACCCAGGAAGGCAGCUAGAGGGGAAACAGGGGGUGCCAGGCAAGUGUCAUCUACGCCUCUUUUGCUUCCUGCCUCCUGUUCCGGUGGGCAAUAUACACAGCCUCUUAUCUUCCCAGAGGACAGGGCCCUUCAAGAGCACAGGAGAACGUAUCGACCUCUGUGCCUAGCAUGGGUCUGGCACUAGCAAGCACAGCCGCCCAGUCAGGGUGACUGGCAGAACUGCCCCAAAGGAGGCAUCCUGUAGGCUCAGACCAGAGAAGCCCGCUUCAGCUGAGCCUCGGCCCCUGGCCUCAGCCCAGCACCCAAGCUGACUCUAUGCCUCCUCGCAGCCUUACAGCACCCCCAGCCUGCAGAGUCAGAGACAAGAAAGCAGAACAAGGCGGUUCCUCCUCCUUCCUCCCCACACACCCACGCCUGCCACCUGGCCAAGGAGACGCCUCUCAAAGACACUGGUGCCUUGGAUGUGCAAAGAGGAACUGCCUGUGAGUGCGAAGAUCUUGCAGCCCCAGACUUCUCUCAAUGAGGCUGAGCUGGAUCAGGAUGACACUGAUGCUGCUGGUCGGGGGACCACACCUCGAGACCCACUGACACUAUCUUGGAUCCUCCUACAAGCCCAAGAGGUGCCUGUUUGGGUCAUCCCAUUGUACAGGGCCCAGGAAGCCAGAGAACAAACAUCCGGAGUCUCUGGAAUCUCUCCUACUUUCCUUCCUCACAUCCCGAGGAUCUGGGAGCCAGCAUGAGCAUGCACACAGCGUGCGCACACACACACACACACACGCACACACUGGGCUGGGUAAAUAUGUCAGCCUGGGAUAUCUU